CCUACGUGAGGCAGCAGUGAGGAAUAUUGGUCAAUGGGCGCGAGCCUGAACCAGCCAAGUCGCGUGAGGGAAGACGGUCCUAUGGAUUGUAAACCUCUUUUGUCGGGGAGCAAAAGACGCCACGCGUGGCGUUCCGAGAGUACCCGAAGAAAAAGCAUCGGCUAACUCCGUGCCAGCAGCCGCGGUAAUACGGAGGAUGCGAGCGUUAUCCGGAUUUAUUGGGUUUAAAGGGUGCGCAGGCGGCCUGUUAAGUCAGCGGUAAAAUUGCGAGGCUCAACCCCGGCGAGCCGUUGAAACUGGUUGGCUGGAGUUGGAGAGAAGUAUGCGGAAUGCGUGGUGUAGCGGUGAAAUGCAUAGAUAUCACGCAGAACUCCGAUUGCGAAGGCAGCAUACCGGCGCUCAACUGACGCUCAUGCACGAAAGUGUGGGUAUCGAACAGGAUUAGAUACCCGGGUAGUC
rnacentral:rRNA from 1 species